rnacentral:rRNA from 1 species
AGAACGAACGCUGGCGGCAGGCCUAAUACAUGCAAGUCGAACGAUGUAGCAAUACAUAGUGGCGCACGGGUGAGUAACGCGUGGGAACGUGCCUUGGAGUCUGGAAUAACCACUGGAAACGGUGGCUAAUACCGGAUGUCCCCUUCGGGGGAAAGAUUUAUCGCUCCAAGAUCGGCCCGCGUCAGAUUAGCUAGUUGGUGGGGUAAUGGCCUACCAAGGCUCCGAUCUGUAGCUGUUCUGAGAGGAAGAUCAGCCACACUGGGACUGAGACACGGCCCAGACUCCUACGGGAGGCAGCAGUAGGGAUAUUGGACAAUGGGGGCAACCCUGAUCCAGCCAUGCCGCGUGAGUGAUGAAGGCCUUAGGGUUGUAAAGCUCUUUAGACGGGGACGAUUAUGACGGUACCGUAGAAUAAGCACCGGCUAACUUCGUGCCAGCAGCCGC